GUGUAAUUUACAAUCUAUACAUAAUGGUACAAUAAGUAAAUCUGAAAAUAAUUAAAAGGAGGCGGUGAAAAAAGACAGUGAGUAGAAAUUUUACAUUAGAAAUUUCUACGUGGAAGUUAAUUUAGGGGGGUUGUGUAUUAAACAUGUUAUGCUAUAUGUGCGUUGAGAAGAUCUCUGGGCCAUUCACGUUUGAGGCGUCUGUCUUGGAUGUCCGGAAGAGCAUUGGUAUGAAGUUGAGCAAUGAGGGUAUUUGAAUGAUGUUCCAUAUUGGAGUGGAGUCGAAGAUAAUAUUUUAUAGCUGUUCGUUUGAUGGUAGGGAUUUGGAGGUCGUUGUGAAGAGCAAGAUUUGUGACGUACCAAGGGGCUUUAGCAAUUGUGCGGAGGCAGAU